AAAACUUUCAACAACGGAUCUCUUGGUUCUGGCAUCGAUGAAGAACGCAGCGAAAUGCGAUAAGUAAUGUGAAUUGCAGAAUUCAGGGAAUCAUCGAAUCUUUGAACGCACAUUGCGCCCCCUGGUAUCCCGGGGGGCAUGCCUGUUCGAGCGUCAUUG
rnacentral:rRNA from 1 species